GAUGAACGCUGGCGGCGUGCCUAAUACAUGCAAGUCGAGCGAACGGACGAGAAACUUGCUUCACUGAUGUUAGCGGCGGACGGGUGAGUAACACGUGGAUAACCUACCUAUAAGACUGGGAUAACUUCGGGAAACCGGAGCUAAUACCGGAUAAUAUUUUGAACCGCAUGGUUCAAAAGUGAAAGACGGUCUUGCUGUCACUUAUAGAUGGAUCCGCGCUGCAGUAGCUAGUUGGUAAGGUAACGGCUUACCAAGGCAACGAUGCAUAGCCGACCUGCGAGGGUGAUCGGCCACACUGCAACAGAGACACGGACCAGACUCCUACGGGAGGCAGCAGUAGGGAGUCUUACGCAGUGGGCGAAAUCCUGACGGAGCAACGCCGCGUGGGUGAUGAUGCCCUUCGGAUCGUAAGACUCUGUUAUUAGGGAAGAAAAUAUGUGUAAGUAACUGUGCACAUCCUGACGGUAACUGAUCAGAAAGCCACGGCUAACUACGUG
rnacentral:rRNA from 1 species